AUGCAGCCCGUUGCAACGAAUGUGUUUGCCUAUUUUGUUUUUCAUUUUAUGCUCUGGUGGAACGAUAAAGAAUUGGUCAAGCCGGUUUGCACGAAUGGGUAUGAGUUGAGGAAGCAGUUUUUACUAUACUUGCUAAAACGUCGUGGGAAUGAAGCUAAAGAAAACUUUCCAGAUAUUGUGAAAGAAUUUAUUAAGCGUAUCAUCUAG
rnacentral:rRNA from 1 species